CAGAGAGAGAAAGAGAGAGAGAAAGAGAGAGAGAGAGAGAGAGAGAGAUUCUUUCUUCUUAUCCGAGGAGACUUAUUCUAUUUGUUUAUCUCCUGAGAGCAAGACUCAAGGUUGCCUCAAGAUUAGCUAGGAAUCUGUUUUGGAUGAAUUCUUCUUGAGUAAUGUGUGAAGCAGAGAAGUUUAUAUACCACAAGAAGAAGCUCUUAUUAGAGAUGAAGGUCAAGUUUCUAGGAGACAGCAAGUUGAAGAACUCCUUGGUUUCCAAGUCUCGUAUGAGCCUUUGGAUGAUCCGUGCUAUCACCAUACUGUUGCUAUGGAGCUGUUGUGUUCAUCUGGUGGCGGUGGGAGGGAUGUGGGGACCUAGAUUGUUGAAAGGAUGGCCUUCUUGUUUCAACAGUCACCAUGAUCUCCCAAUGGCUUCACAGGAAAUGACUUCUCUUCCAAUGAAAAUAGCCCUCCCUCCUAAAAGGCUAUAUCAGAACAAUGGCUAUCUUAUGGUUUCUUGCAAUGGAGGACUCAACCAAAUGCGAGCUGCGAUAUGUGAUAUGGUGACUAUUGCAAGAUACAUGAAUGUCACACUUAUUGUCCCAGAGCUUGACAAGACCUCUUUUUGGAAUGAUCCUAGUGAGUUCAAAGACAUAUUCGAUGUGGAUCACUUCAUAACUUCUUUGAGAGAUGAGGUUCGUAUACUCAAAGAGGUUCCUCCAAGACUUAAGAGAAGGGUUGAGCUUGGCGUUUACCACACCAUGCCUCCUAUCAGCUGGUCCAACAUGUCCUACUACCAAGACCAGAUUCUUCCACUGGUGAAGAAGCAUAAGGUCUUACAUCUGAACAAGACCGAUACUCGACUUGCCAACAACGAACUUCCUGUUGAGGUUCAGAAGCUGAGAUGCCGAGUAAACUUCAACGGGCUUAGGUUCACUCCAAAGAUUGAGGAACUGGGUAGAAGAGUAGUCAAGAUCCUGAGGGAGAAAGGUCCCUUUCUUGUUCUCCAUCUCAGAUACGAAAUGGACAUGCUUGCAUUCUCUGGUUGCUCCCAUGGUUGCAACCGCUACGAAGAGGAAGAGCUCACAAGAAUGAGAUAUGCUUAUCCGUGGUGGAAGGAGAAAGUGAUAAACUCAGAGUUGAAGAGGAAAGAAGGUCUUUGCCCAUUGACUCCAGAAGAAACAGCUCUGACUCUAUCUGCCUUGGGGAUUGACCGUAAUGUUCAGAUUUACAUAGCUGCCGGAGAGAUAUACGGUGGUAAAAGGCGGUUAAAGGCUUUAACAGACGUCUUUCCCAAUGUGGUGAGGAAAGAAACUCUGCUGGAUUCCUCUGAUUUGAGUUUUUGUAAGAACCACUCUUCUCAAAUGGCUGCUCUUGAUUACCUUAUCUCUCUGGAAAGUGAUAUAUUCGUUCCUACUUAUUAUGGGAACAUGGCCAAAGUUGUGGAAGGUCAUCGCAGGUUCUUGGGGUUCAAGAAGACGAUUGAGCUAAACAGGAAGUUCUUGGUCAAUCUUAUAGAUGAAUACUACCAAGGAUUAGUGAGCUGGGAAGUGUUCGACCAGGGUGAAGGCCUUUCACGCUACAAGAAUGGGAGGUCCAAAGAAGAGGCUUGUGAUACCAAAUAAACCAAAAGAAGAAGACUACUUCUAUGCUAAUCCUUAUGAAUGUCUCCAGCUAUUACAUGAGAAUGAUAGUGGCAAUUCACUAGAUGAAACCAUAUGAUCAGAGCCACCACCAUUGUCCUACAUUUAGAUUUGGCAGGACAUGGAUGGGUGGAUAAUGGAGUUUAUCUAUGGGGAUUAUAUCAAUCUUGAGGAUGAGAUUCUUAAAGAGGUUAUGUAGGGUUCUUUGGUGUACAGAGACAUCUGAAGAGCUUCUGUGGAUGUAGAAGGAAGGCUCUGAAGUUUUCAUUGUAAAGUUUGCAGACUUGUCAUUUUGGCACCAUCACCUCCUCAUCCAUGGACCUGCAGUUUUGUAGCUGAAAAAUAAACAAUGCAGUGUAUAAUUAUGUUACACAUUAUUAGUUAUUUGAUUAAAUAAAUAAGUGUUCUGUUUCUUA